rnacentral:rRNA from 1 species
GGGCAAGUCUGGUGCCAGCAGCCGCGGUAAUUCCAGCUCCAAUAGCGUAUAUUAAAGUUGUUGCAGUUAAAAAGCUCGUAGUUGAAUUUCGAGAUCAGUUCGCUGGUCGUGCCUUUGGUAUGUACUGGUGUUACUGGUUUCUACCUUCUGAAGAACCGUCAUGUCAUUCAUUUGGUGUGGCGGGGAAUCAGGACUGUUACUUUGAAAAAAUUAGAGUGUUUAAAGCAGGCUCGCGCUUGAAUACAUUAGCAUGGAAUAAUGAAAUAGGACGUUUGAUCCUAUUUUGUUGGUUUCUAGGAUCGACGUAGUGAUUAAUAGGGAUAGUUGGGGGCAUUAGUAUUCAAUUGUCAGAGGUGAAAUUCUUGGAUUUAUUGAAGACUAACUACUGCGAAAGCAUUUGCCAAGGAUGUUUUCAUUAAUCAAGAACGAAAGUUAGGGGAUCGAAGACGAUCAGAUACCGUCGUAGUCUUAACCAUAAACUAUGCCGACUAGGGAUCGGAUGAUGUUAAUUUUUUAAUGACUCAUUCGGCGCCUUACGGGAAAC